rnacentral:lncRNA from 1 species
AGGGCGGCGGGGGCUAGGGGGCGUCGCUCGGUUUGUUGGCGCUGAGUUGGUAGAACAAUAGGCGCGUCAGCGGCGGCCGGCGCGUGCACGGAGAAGAGGUAUUUUAAAUAUUUUUAGUGGAUGAUGGAACAUCUCCCUUGUAAUGUCCAGCAAUAAACUCAUCUGGUGGUGUCUAGCUACCUCGUUCAUUACAAGUGGCAGUAAAAUGAUCCUGUUCUGAGCAAUUCCAUUUAUUGUUACACCAUCUGGAUUCAGGGGCUACUUUGCAGAGGAAUGUGGGCCACUAAACGCUUGUGUAGCAUCCAAAGGCAAUGGCCUCGUUUGAAAGAGGAUGGACUGCAUGGUAACAUAUUUUUUAAACUUCAGCAGUUUUGGACUGGUGUUCUGGGUUACUGCAGUCUAAGAGCCACACAUGUUAAAUCCACAUAUAAUGUACAGAAUGAAUGGCUGAUAAUGGACAUGGCAACUGCUGUUGUUGCUGAGGAAGUUAAAACAGCCUGUGGGAAAGGGC